rnacentral:lncRNA from 1 species
CCGCAGCCAUGUCCUCUUCCUGUUUGUUUUGUAGAGCAGACACUCCAUAAACGCUCAUAGCAGAAAUGAAUAAAUGGAUGAGUCUCAUUAUCACAUUGGCGGUGACAAUCUUCUGAUUGCUCAGAGGCUCCAGAAUUGGAUGUGUUUCUGGUACUGGAGGAUCUACUUAGGAGGCAGUACUUCUGAGAGUCUUCAUGGACCAUGGUGCUGCACGAGGUGCUGUGUUUGCAGAGUUUUUUUUUGCCCUUGAAGAGCACUUACGACUGGAGAGCAAGACACAUGCCGACACGCAGAAGCUGACGGGCUUGCGGCCACGUGGGAAAGUCCUCGGACGAGCUGUCUGCUUGCAGGGAGGUGUCUGCGGCUCAGGGCUUUGCUCAGGAGGCUCCAGAGAGGUGGCCCUGUCCUGCCAAGUUAAGGAAUGCCGCCUUGUUGUGGAAUGGUCCCGUGCAGAACACACAGCAUCCCACGGAAACACCCACUCCAGGCGGGGGCCAGAAAUCCAUUGUCUUCAGUGACUUCCUGACCCAGGCCAGUGGGUGCGGUUCCAGUUUCCAGCUAGCCAAGUCCAUUUUCACCCCCGAACCUCCUGCUGAGCCUUUUUCCUGCAUGUCACCACCCACAGACUCAGAUCAAGUCCCUGACUUGCCUCUCAGACUCCGGGACGACACACAGAAGGCGGAAAGUCGUGUCUCCUGAAUUCAACUUUUCCGUAGGCUUAGAUUGCCGGUGAUCACCUUGCUGGCUUCACCUGGCUUUCCCAGCCUCCUUAUUCUUUUUCAUCUUCAAAGGAUGGUGAAGCUGUUGAGCCCAACUCCUGAGGAGUCAACAAAGGAGAUUUUGAACGCUCCAAGAACAGCAGGCUCCGCACUGAAACUCAGCAGCCACUUUGAACCAAACUGUGUGCAUUUUCAGAAGUAUUUCUUCUUGCUGAAGACCCGAGGGACUGGGUUUUUUGAGGGUCAUUUCUCCAGUAGAUUUAGCCUGCCUGGGAAAAGUUUUCGGCAGCAGGGGACAGGGGAAAAUAAAAUCCUGGAAGAUGGCUCCUGUUCUGUGAUU